ensembl:lncRNA
GUAAGUGAUAUAAACAAAACAAUGGCAUUCUUGGCUUUUAUGGUAUGACUCGUGUGUGUGUGUGUGUCUGUGUGUCUGUGUCUGUGUGUCUGUGUGUGUCUGUGUGUCUGUGUGUGUCUGUGUCUGUCUGCCUGUCUGUCUGUCUGUCAGAGGACAACUUAUGGGACCUGUUUUACUGUUUUUUUCCUUGCACAGUGGGAUCCCAGGCUCGCACUCAGGUGAUUUGAUUGUGCAGUAAAUGAUCUACAAGCUGAGCCAUCUCAGUGGCCUAUCUUUUUGUCCUAAUUUUUGUUGUUUCUAACUGACUGUAUUUGAAAAUGUGCUUCAGUUUUCAAAAACAAUUUACAUUUGUGUAUAUUUUUCUAAUUAUUUGGAAGUGUUUCUCGGAUAUCUAACUUUCCAAGCAAUAUAAUAUUUAUAAUACACUCAUGCAGGUCCAGCACAGAAGUGGGUUUUUAUAAAUAGAAGUGAUUUCCCUAUUAUUUUUCACCAAAUGAUUAUGGUUUCCGUGGCUUCUCUGAAACUUUCCAGGAGUGAAAUAUGAGUCUCAGGCAUCAGGCUGUGAUUAUGGAGGAUAAGAUGUUAUGAAGAAGAGCAUUAAUACUGAAUUCAUUUCUAGAUUGUCAGCACUGUAGAACAGUUCUAACUGUAAAUAUCUACAUGUUCUAGAUUUAAUUUUUUUGUUUUGGUUGUCCAAAAGUGAGAAUAACAUGUUGAUGGGGAAGAACAGGAAGACUAACCACUUUUGAAUAUAAUCAAGACUUAAUAGAACAGAAUAAAUUUUAUUCUUUAUAAUGUGCUAAAGCACAAGCCAAAAAUGAUCUCUACAAUAAGGCUGAUAUGGUUUAGUUGUGUUAAAUAAUACUUCAUUGUAAGCAGUUUUACACAUUUGCAAUUUUUCAGAGUUCAAUUAUUUUUGAAUACAUGGGGAAAUUUUCCUUUCUGCUUUUAAUUUUUCUGGUGGCAAUUAUAAGAAGUAGAGGAGAAAGUUAAACUCUGUGUCUUUCAUCACAAACUUUUGAUAUUAUAAAACAAUGUAGCUGGAAUAAAUCAUAAAUAAUUCACAUUACUCAGAAUAAAACUGUCCUAUACAUUACCAGAGUGAAGUGUUAGGUGUUUAAUACAAGCUAGGAACUUGAAUACAGAGCUAAACUUCAUACUUUUAAUAAAAAUAUGGUUAUACGUGACUGAAAAUCUCUUGUUAUGGGGCUAGGAAAGAUGGCUCACCAGUUAAGAGCACUGGCUGAUCUUCCAAAGGACCUGGGUUCAAUUCCCAGAAUCCAUAUGGCAGUGUGCAACUCCAGUUCCAGGGGAUCUAGCAUCCUCAAACAGGCAUCAUAAAGGCAAAAACCCCAAUGUACAUAAUAAAUAAAUAGAAAGUUUUUAAAACUGCAGUUAUUUUACAUAUGUAUGUACCCUUUAAGUUAAUGUUGUCUUCCUUUUAUUUCAUUCUAUUGCUUCAAACUUUUCUAACUUUUAUAAGAAAUAACUACUUCACUUUAUCUGGUAAAAACAGAAGCUCCACUCUGUCACGGUAUGGGAAGCUAGAGAACUAGUGUAGCCUUUCCGAAACUAAUCUGGAUUCACUGUAACAAGCAAAGACAACAGACAUUCAGGCUCAUGACUUGACUGCCAGGCAGUGUGUUGCAGGGAUGCUGGCAACCCUGCAGUCUACAGUACAGUGUGAUCAGCAGACAAUUACAGGAUUUAUUCCUGGGAAGGUGGCACCAGGUCAAAGUUUCUCCAUGGAGAAUUCUCCACCUAGAAAAUCGACUUCAGUUCUGAAAGUAAUAGCCUUGAAACUUUCUGUGCCCCUUGAAUAAAUCUAAUAUUUUAAUCAAGACAUAAAUACUAUAAAUUUUGUUUUUCCAAUUUAUUUCAUUAAUUUUAUAAUUACUUUAAAUUUUCUGUUAACAUUGUAUUUUUUAUGUACAACAUGAUGUCUUGAAGCACACAGGCCACUGUGGAAUGGCUAAAAUAUAACAAGUUCACUACCUGUGUAGUUAUUUUCAUAGUGAGAGCAUAGCUUACUUUAACGUUUUUGUUUAUUUGUUUGUUUUUCUUUUUUGAGGCAGAGUUUCUCUGUGUAGCCCUGGCUGUCCUGGAACUCACUUUGUAGACCAGGCUGGCCUUGAACUCACAGAGAUCGACCUGCUUCUGCCUCUGCUUCCUGGGUGCUGGGAUUAAAGGCAUGUGCCACCACUGCCAGGAUUUUUAUAUUAAUCUUUUUUAAAUGAAAUUAUUACAAAAUUUUUAAUGCCUGCUAUGAAAUUUAGGUAGCAAAGUCAUUUGAUUCCCCAUCAAUAAUAGUAAAAACGGAAAUCAAGAAAUAAGAUCUUCAUAGAAAUUGGAAUUUUAUAUCUUCCUCUUAUUUUUUAUUUUCCUUUCUCACUAUAUUUAUGCUAGUUUGAUAUAAAUGUAUUCAUAUAAUAUUGGUUUACUUUCAAAUUACAUCAUUUGUUGACUAUAUAUAUUUUUUUCUACAGCAAAAUAUAAACAUAUAAAUAAAUAAGUUAGUUUUUAAUUUUUCCAAUAGAUUUCCAAUGUUAAAAUAUUUAUAUGAGGUUGAUGGGGGAAGUUCUUCUGUAUAUAUGUUUCUCUUAUUGGUUGAUGAAUAAAACACUGUCUGGUCUAUAAGGCAGGAAGAUAGGUGGGACUACGACAAGAAGAAUUCUGGGAAAGGUAGGCAGAGAGGGCCCACCAGAACAGUCACCAUGUAGGCCACCAAAGGAGUAACAGGUCCAGACCCUUCUCAGAGAUCUGUCUGGGAUUCUCUUUGGAUCCUGCAAUGAUGGACUUGGUGUUGAAGCUGUAUUGAUCGGUUACUGAAGAAUUUUCCUCUGUUUCACAUCAUCUUCCCACUAAUGGUUCCCAGUUCAUAUUUUCUGGAAGAACCAGUAUGCAAGCAUGCUCUUUCCAAAUGGGGCUUUGGUAGCAGAUGGCAGGUCAAAUCCCUCAGGAAGUGAAGAUCAAGAAGAAAUGGUUGGAAAUUUUCCAGUUAACUCUGAGUAAUCAUGAGGUAAUCUGUAUAAUACAUAAACCCAUUCACACCACCUCUUCUCCAAAUUCCCCAGAAGCAUUAUUAAUCAGCAUGGCAAGCCGUUAAAAAAAGAAAGAAAGAAAAAGGAUGCCAGACUGUCUGGAAGGAAAGACUGAGCAAGAGGCAUGUUGCUGUAACAUGAGCAGACCAUUCUAUCAUCAAUGCAGUCCUAGAGGGCUCUGGUUUUAGCAUUUAUCAGCAUCAAGAACAUCCCAAAGUUUACUGAGCCAUGAGUGAUAGCAAAGUGAACACUUAAAUGCAAAGUAUCCGAGGAUUAUGCUGCCAAGCGUAAGAGGUUGCCAUGCUGAAUCAAGGAGUGUGCCGCAAGCACUUUGACUGCUGGUCUGUAAAACCCUACAUGCAAAUAGCCAAGGGCUGUACCAGAAGAUAAGAGCAGCAAGGCUGUGUUCAAAGGCAGGGGAGAGGAAGGUACUUAUGGCCAAGAGGAAGUCAGAUAAUGCUAACACAGCACACUUGGAAAAGCCAUUUCGUAUUACUGCAUCUGCUCUGCAGCACCUAUGGGCAGCAGAGGGAGGCAUGUUUUGUUCUCUCUUUCUUCCAAAAUAGGAAAUAAUCUGUAUUUUCAAAUUAUUUAUAUUGUCUUAAUUAAAAUUUAUAUGAAGCUUAAGACAUGUUCACUAUUAACCCAAUUUUAAUGAUAACAUAGAAGAUUGUAAUAGUCAAGAUUGAACAGUCAGUCACGUUGCUGGUAAGAGAUACCAGAACAGUGGAUCUGACUCCAAGUUCCUUUAGCACCAAGCUACAUUAAUUUCAUUAAAACUUGAGUUGCCCCGGGGUUUCUAAUCUCAGUAGUAUCUCUACUAAGUCCAAAGCCUUUUAUUUUCCAAGUCUACACUUCACCUACUAUUGAAUCUGGUGAUAGAUUUUUAUUAAAAUAAAUAUAGAUCCUUCCUUUCUAAGAAACACUGAAGUGAAAUUAUUUCUCUAUAAUGGUUCCCAUCUAGAAAAAAAAAAAAAAGCAUAUUCCUCAGACAUAAAUACUUUCUGAGCACCCACCACCUGCACCAUACUGUGUUAGCACUUGCUGAACUCACUAAAAUCUGAUAGUUUGUGGAAUUCCCAACAGCAAUAUAUUUCUCUCAAACCAACGAAAGUAGACAUUCAUAACCUUUCAGGGUUACUCAUAACCUAUUUGUGUUUACUUUUAAGAGGUGUACAGACACAAGAUUAUUCCAUUUCCUUCUGUGCUGUUCAAGGAGAGACGGUAUGAGCCCAGCUUCCGGAUGUUGAAUCAUAUGACUUGAACCAGAGGUCAGGUAAAGUGGUGGUCAACUUCAGGUUCCAACCUGCAAAACAGCCCACCUCUGGAAGCCUAGUCAUUCAGGGAGGUGAGCGUGCCAGACACCACAAACCCAGACUUGCUGGUAGAGGCCCCUCAAGCCAAACAGCAGCACAGCCAGUAAAGGGUGGUGGGAGGUAGAAAGCAAGCUCGAGGCUGGCAAGGGGGCGGAGUGAGUCACUUCUUUGAUGUGGAGUGGUUAUUACAAACACAGCAAAGGUGAGCAAGCAUUUCCUUCCCCUGACUACUGUGACUACUGGUGUAGGAAACUGAGUCAUGGGCUAGGACAGCUUUAGAGUUGCAGGAGAGGAAAAUUCUUAUUUAUAGUCUAACAUCAAUUUUACUAAGAUGCAUUUUGUCAAUCUGGUAAAUCUGCAGUCUGCCUUAUGUGGAUAAGCCAGUUUCCUACUUAUUUGCAAAAUAUUUUCUCACUGUUCUUUUCUUAGUAAAGAUGCUCUUUGAGAGUUGUAUACACUCAACCUGAUCCUUUAUAGGUAAUGAUUAUUUAAAGAAAUGCAUUCAUUUUGUAAUUUCAACACUAGGAAGGUAGAGACAGGAAGAUCAGAAGUUCAAGGUCAUCCUCAGAUAAAAGGCAAGUUCGAGGUCAGCCUCACCUAUAAAAGAACCUGUCUAAGAAAAAGGAGAUGGGAGGAAGAAAGAGAAGAAGAAAGAAAAGAACAUAAAUUCUUAACAAUACAUCCAAAAUGUUGGCUCACAUCAGUCAGAAUAAUGAUAUAAGACUUUCAGAGAAAGUAUCUGUGUGAAUUAUUGCAUUUCCUUCCCUAAGACCAGGCUUAAUAUUACCUCCUUUCAUCUCUUUUAUAAAUAUAUAUUUUAAUUUCCUAACCAGCAAAAAAAAAAAAAAUGCCUAAGUUUAAACACUAUUUACCUGAAGCAGAACAGAGCAAGAGGGUCUAUUCUGAGUAGAGUACAUUGAUUUCCUUGUUAUCGUUGGUUAAGAAUUUCAUCAAAUUGCAGGCCCUAAACUAGCCCGGUAUUUAUAAGUCAGCCAUAGUUUGGUGUUCUUAGUUUUGCCUGGCUAGGGCACUAUACUCACAGAAACGCUCUGUGAUUUUAUGAAUGAUUAUAUUUGUUACUUUUUACAUCACUGUCACAAACUUCCUAGCAGAAAGGACUUGAGGGAGGGUUUAUUUUGGCUAGGGACGGCCUGGUGUGGGGCAGGGGAGGCACAGGGCCAGGUGGUUCGCCUGCGAUAAUUGGAGUUUGCAGCAAAGCUUGCUUACAUCUUAGAAGAACAGGAAACAGCUUGUUAGAGCCAAAUACAGAGGGGAGUGCAGUUUCCAAAGACAGAGCCACUUCUGCUCACUGGGCCACAGUACCACAGGUUCCACAACCUUCUAAAACAGUGAGUUGUCUGUGGCAAUGCUGAAAUAUGUGAACCUUACCGCAACAGAGACAUCAUUUGUUUAUUUGACUUUAUUAGAAAAAGACUAGAUGUUCACUGCUGGAACCGUAUCAUCACUCCUUCCUUCCACGGUGCCACAAAAUCUUCAGUGUAAAUAAAUCACAAAUUGAAAGCUCAAAUCACAGAAGAAAAAAAAUGAUGGCUUAUAGACUUAUCCAUUUUCUUAUUAAUUGUUAAAAGUAAUAAUAGUAAUAAUGCCAGAGUCUGCUAUAGCCAUCAGGAAUAUAGCAAAACCAAAUAGGAACUCACAGGGAAAAAAAGCAACAUUUGUUUAUGUUAAUGGUGGUAAGUGCUUUUUAGCAAAACCAAUUAACAGAAGGGUAAGGAGCAGGAAGAAGGGGUGUAAUUUCAAAUGGGGUGACCUGGGAAGUCUCACUAAGAAGGUUGCAUCACAAUUACGGUAAACUUGACCCUCAGUAACUACUGAAAUCCAGAAAUUGUUCUGGACUGAUGGUGAAAUCCACAAGGUUUGAAAAUGAUCAAGUGACCUACAUGAGGACAAUUUUCUCUUGCAUUAGGAAUUAUAUCUUACCCACACCUUAUGACUCAGAAGGUAUUAAUUUUUAUCUUCCUAACUCUGGUAGCCAAAUGUUAGGAUUGAGUCAGGCAAAUAUUUCCCAAAUGAGUUGUAGAAUGUACCCUUACUCACGAUAGCACCACUAAAACCAGCAGACGUGUUCCUGGGCGGUAGAAACUUGUGUCUGAGACAUUUGCAUAUUUAGAGGUGUUUUUAUUCCUUUAAAAGAACAUGACUGAGAAUCACUUUUAUAGCUAACAAGAGCCAGAGUAACUCAUGUUAAAGAAUAGGAUUUAAUUGAUAGUUUAGAAGUUGAAAACUUCUGAGUAAAAGCUAGCCCCAAAGCAUUUCAUGGUGAAAAAAAAGUUUCAUAAUUUCCUUAAAAAUAUUCCAGAUGAUAACUGAUUGAACUUUAAAAUAUUGGCUUUGGUAUAUUUUUUUCCUCCCACGAAGAAAAUGCUUGUAAGAGCAAAAAAUCCAUUCUAAGUGGCUCUGAGGGAGUUCAUGUUUUGUUUAAGAAUUGUGGUUUCUCUUGGCUAGCAAACAUACAGAAAUAGUUUCCCUGGUGUAAAACAUUAGAAUGACAGACUCUUGUUGGGAAUGGAUAGAAAUAGACAUAAUUACAACUGUAACUACAGGGAAAAGAAGGCAAAUGAUCAAACAUUUAUUGGGCUUAAGCACAGUAAAUUGUCAACUCCAAAAAUCAUGAUUUGUUUAAUAAAAGUCAAUACCACUGCAUUCAUGUCCAAAUCUAGAGAAAAGAGACUUGGAGCCAGAUUGGUACACUGGGAGUUUGUUGGCACUGCUGCUGAGAGGGACGAGCCCGAGAAAAUGAAAGUAGAACUUGGCAAACAAGAAUGGAUCCUGCAGUUCAGUAGUCCAAAGCCAACAGCCAGUCCCUUGUAGAAUUUUGAAGGUGGGAUGACACUUCAACAUUCUGCUCAGCUGAGACAAGCGGUUCCCUUUGACCAAAGGCAUAUCUGAGGCUGGGAAUUUAUCCGUGACUUGUUACCAGCCAAUGUGGCAGCCAGGACAUGAAUUCCAUGGCUGUGAAAGAGAACUUGGAAGACCUCAGCAUCUGCAGCAGACAGUACGGCUUCAUCUCUGAUACAAGAAUGGUGAAAGAUGCACGGACUUCACUGUGUCGCUGCAUAGGUUGGAGUGUGGGGUGGCAUGCCCUUUCAAAACUGAAAAUCUGGAACCACAUUGCAGUCUGCGUGUUUAUUAAAGUGCAACCUCUACCAAGAAGCUCCGCCCACUUCAGCAUCUACCAGGAAGCUCCUCCUACUUCAGCAUCCACCAGGAUGAUGCUCCUGCUUCAGCUUGCACUUGACGUGAAUGAGAAGUCAAAUGCUAUCCUAAUUCCUAUCCCCUUAAGCCAUUAAAAAUUAAGAUUUCUCAGCUGGGCAGUGGUGGCACAUGCCUUAAAUCCCAGCAAUUGGGAUGCAGAGGCAGGUGGCUCUCUGUGAGUGCGAGGCCAGCCUAGUCUACAGAGAGUUUUCCAGGACAGGCUCCAAAGUCACACAGAGGAACCCUGUCUCAAAAACAAAAAUAAGAUUUCUCUUUAAAGUGAGUAGUUAUCACUCUGAAGUGCCUUUCUUUUAUGUCAAUGAUCUCUUUUUCCUAAUUUGUGAAACCAGACUGAUUCCUGACCCAACAGGUCAGUCCUAUCCUUGAAAGGAGCAAUUUUGAUGAGGAAGGUGGGUUGUGAUACUAAAAAACACUAGUACAGGGUUUACCAUGUGAACAUGCAGUUGUUAGAACACAGUAAGUACGAGGCUUGUUUCAACUCUACUACUAACUCAGUGAGCUGACUUCACCCACAUAUGGUCUCCUUGAGCACCAGCCCCCUCCUCUUGGAGCCAGAGCUUUAGGUGAGAUUAAUUACCUCCAAAGUCUUUUGCAACUAUAGUAUGUUCUCCUUAAUGCUUCAUGCUAUACCUACAAAGCAACUCUUACACAGUGAAAGAGAAUUUCCCUGAAUGAUUUUUGCAAUUGAAUAACCUAAUGCCAAAAAUGUCAGUGACAAUUCUGAGAUACCCUGCUUAGUACCCUGACAUCAUGGGAACACACACACACACACACACACACACACACACACACACACACACACACACACACACACACACAUAUAAAAGGAUAGUGCUUAAAAGUUAAUCCUUUGUUCUGUUUUGUUGAGGAGGGCAUGCCAGUGGCAUUCUCUACCAAAAAUUUUUAAAGGUUUCACGAUUUCUGGGAUUAGUGUAAUCCAAGAUUAUACUGUGUAUAAUCAUGCAUUAGAUAUUCAAGUGGACUGGUGUCAAAGUCAAAUUGUAUGAAUUCAUAUCUUAAUUCUACAAUUAUUUUAGCUGGAAGCUAAUAUUUACCUUAGAAAGUUUGUAAAAAGGGUUUUUCAAAUACCACAUACAUGUAACUCAAGC